UCCCAUGUGGUCUUGUGGUCAAGAAUGGUUGCUUUCACCCACGCGGCCCGGGAUCGAUUCCCGGUUUGGGAA
rnacentral:tRNA from 1 species